CUUAAACAACAAACAUUUUUUUCUCUCAGUUCUGCCAACUGAGAAGUCCAAUAUCAAGCCUUGAAAGUGCUUGACACUCUCUCAUUUCCUUUUUAUCUCUUUUUAGAUGUAAGCAUUUCUAAGCAUGUUCCUGACUACCCUAUCCAAAGCAGCACUCUCCAUUCUGUGUGCCCUUCUUUCACUUUGUAGCACUACUUUACAAGAUGUUACACAAAAUUACUUUACAUUAUACUUAUUGUCUAUUUUACAAGUAUGCAAUCUCCCUGAGGGCAAGGACUUUACUUUGUGUACUAUUGUUUCACCAGAGUCAAGAAAAGAGCCUGACAUGAACCAACUGCUCAAUAACUAUUUGUUGCAUGGGUUAAUAAAUGAAAAGGACCUGGAUUAUUUUACUGUCCCACAUGACAUUCAAGGAUCCAGGUGGAGGGUUGGAAUGUCCAAUGAAGAGUAAGGUCAGAGGAAGCAGAGGAUGAGGGAGGUGAGCAGGAGUAGCUGAGAGCCCAGUUAAUACCUUGGACUAUGGGUGUGUCGCUAUACUUCACAAAAAUGCCAAGAACCACAGCUGUGAGGACAGACAGGCAAAGAGCUUCACAGGCAAGUACCAUCCCCAUAGGAUCUCCAUAGGCCAAGAAGAUCACAACUUUUGAGAGGCAAUGAUCUCGAUCACUAUUUGGGUAUUGAUUGUCUGGACACUUCAUACAUUGCUUCAUAUCUGGCAAGAAAAGCAUGGUGCCACUAACUUGGGUUCAAUGAUUCUUAAGAGUCCUCAAAAUAUUCACAUUUGGCCAAAUCGAUAUGAUUAGACAACAAAUAAAGGAAUGCUAUAGGGAGAGAAAUUCCAAGAUAAUGGUGUCUAUUGUGUUCUCGGUAUAACAAAAGUCAAGGAGCUCUAGCCUCACCUCUUUUGUUCAUCUUCUGUAUGCAAGGGAAUUAGUUUUUUCUUAGAAACAAAAAUUACUCCUUUUAUAUCACUUAAAUAUGGGUAGGGUAGGACAUAUCCUCGAUUCGCUCCCUCAAAAGCAGGCACUUGUUGAUAACUUUCAGUGACCUAAUUUCCAGAGGUUUGCAGAUAUAGAGAUGGCCAAGAUAUAACCUGUCACUGAAGCUUCAAAAUUACAUUUCUGCCAUCCAAUUUAUUGCACACCCAUCUCCUAUUCAUUCC
rnacentral:lncRNA from 1 species